rnacentral:misc_RNA from 1 species
AAGUCGUAACAAGGUUUCCGUAGGUGAACCUGCGGAAGGAUCAUUAACACGUCUAAACAACGUAUAACCAAACGCGAACUGUUUCGUUCCCGGGUUAGUUCUGAGUGACAUGUGAUUGAACGGUGUGAGAUUUAUUUCUCUUGAUCAUAUGUUAGUUGAUUAGUGUAAAAAGCUAAUUGACAACUUGGAGCUAGCUGCGGUAGAUGAGUUUCGGCUGCAGGACCACACCCUGCCACUGCAGUUGAAGCGCCCCACUUUUUCUUAUUUCUUACUGAUGUUGUACGUUUGCAUAUGAAUUCCUGGUUGUAUCAAUGCAAUUGGUUGAGUUCUAUGUAGAUGUCAUUUAUUCAAUAAUAAACAACUCUUAGCAACGGAUAUCUUGGUUCUC